rnacentral:rRNA from 1 species
GAUGAACGCUGGCGGCGUGCCUAAUACAUGCGAGUCGAGCGAACAGACGAGGAGCUUGCUCCUCUGACGUUAGCGGCGGACGGGUGAGUAACACGUGGAUAACCUACCUAUAAGACUGGGAUAACUUCGGGAAACCGGAGCUAAUACCGGAUAAUAUAUUGAACCGCAUGGUUCAAUAGUGAAAGACGGUUUUGCUGUCACUUAUAGAUGGAUCCGCGCCGCAUUAGCUAGUUGGUAAGGUAACGGCUUACCAAGGCAACGAUGCGUAGCCGACCUGAGAGGGUGAUCGGCCACACUGGCACUGAGACACGGUCCAGACUCCUACGGGAGGCAGCAGUAGGGAAUCUUCCGCAAUGGGCGAAAGCCUGACGGAGCAACGCCGCGUGAGUGAUGAAGGUCUUCGGAUCGUAAAACUCUGUUAUUAGGGAAGAACAAAUGUCUAAGUAACUAUGCACGUCUUGACGGUACCUAAUCAGAAAGCCACGGCUAACUACGUG